rnacentral:rRNA from 1 species
AGAACGAACGCUGGCGGCAGGCUUAACACAUGCAAGUCGAGCGAGGACUUCGGUCCUAGCGGCGGACGGGUGAGUAACGCGUGGGAACGUGCCCCUUUCUUCGGAAUAGCCUCGGGAAACUGGGAGUAAUGCCGAAUACGUCCCGUAAGGGAGAAAGAUUUAUCGGAGAGGGAUCGGCCCGCGUUGGAUUAGGUAGUUGGUGGGGUAAUGGCCUACCAAGCCGACGAUCCAUAGCUGGUUUGAGAGGAUGAUCAGCCACACUGGGACUGAGACACGGCCCAGACUCCUACGGGAGGCAGCAGUGGGGAAUCUUGGACAAUGGGGCAACCCUGAUCCAGCCAUGCCGCGUGAGCGAUGAAGGCCUUAGGGUUGUAAAGCUCUUUCAGCGGGGAAGAUAAUGACGGUACCCGCAGAAGAAGCCCCGGCUAACUCCGUGCCAGCAGCCGC